CUCUGGGAAGCGGUGCUCAUGACAACCAACAUAAACAAGUUUCAGUAGCUAUAUUUAUGCGUUGGUUUCACAAAACGGGGUGCCAAACCCAAGGAAAGCUGCUGUCAUUGCUUUCUGUGGGGACCAGUACUAUGAAAUAAUUGGAUCUAUUUAACAAAGCAUGGAUGAAAGGUUCGAUGCUUGAAUAGAAUUUCCAGAUUCAUGGCAGCGAGGCGGAAAAAAGGUAUUGACGAGGGAGAUGUAUUACAUGGCCAUCCUCGGGGUGAUUCCCCCUUUCCACAUGCCAGGGGUUUAUACCAACCAUCUGUAAUCUUCAUGGGUCGGCAGACUUCCAGAGAGUCCACGGCUGAAGAUGCCACCAUAAGUGUACACUUACAAGAAGCCGAGCAUCAUUCGCCCCAAUCAUCGCUCACGUGCCUCGGAACACCGGCAAAGUGGCCUUUUGAAGGACUCCAAAGUUUCCAGAGAGGUUGUUGCCGACAGCGGAGCGCGUUUAUCAGAUGACAUUUCAGACUCAAACGAUUCCCCCGACGGCUGUAAUUUGAGUGACAAACAUGAAAGGAUGGCGGCAGUGGUUCCAUCCAGCUUAACAGCCAGCGCCGGUGUGCCUUUUGGAGGUGAUUAACAACCUCCUACACCUCGAGUGACCUUGACGAGGCCUGAGAAGAAUAGACUGUCAUCCCAGCAGUAUCAGCCAUAUGUCUGACAGGAAUUCACCUGCAGAAUACACUCGGUAGAGGGUCUGCCCACCAGGACAGCAUAAAAAAAGAAGUUGGAGAGAGUUGCAAAUAUCACCGACUCAAACUGACUUGGGAAAAUAAUCUCAAGAUGUGCUAGAGAGGAGUGAACACCUCGGUAUAUCCAGUUCCAGGGGGGCUGGCAGUGACCUGUCAAUCUCCCCGACGGAGUCUGACCUGGCUGAGGUACCAAAGGUGCCACAGAAUGUCGUCUAUGUAGACGGCCAUAGCAGGAGGACAGACAGCCCGCCAGAGGAGUGCUACACCCAGGGACAGGGAUCUCCACAGCAUCAGCAUACACAGUCAAGAAUCACUUGACACUCCAGAGCCUAGGAACAGAUCUGAACCAAGUAGAGAAUCCAYGUCUUAAGAAAUACCAUCGGAGAGGCUGUCAAUCCAGGUGUUCUUCCUUCUACUGGAGAGCAUCGAAGAACUAUUCCACAGAAGAUAAAGAAAUGUGUACUGGGUCUCAUUAGUUGGUGAUAGCAAAUGUAAAAAAGUGGUCAGCCUUUGUAACGCCAGGGAAGGCUUGAAUGGAGAGGACCUUGAUACAUGUGGAGCAGUCGUCCUUCACCAGCUUCAGAGGUUGUCAAAGACCACGUCAGAGGGUUGGUUGCCUGUUACCUGAAGAGAUAGUUAGCUUUAACUUAUCGACCACCGAGCCCAGGAAAAUAAGCUCCUGUCUCCCACCUGACGCUGCUCCUCUGUGGGAUCCCUGGUUCAAGCACACCCUUCUGCUGAAGGACCACCAUGUCCUCACCACCGAGCGCCUCGUCCAGCUGUUCACUCCACUGCUACUGCCGCACAAUGCCUCCUAUAGUACCAAGGCCAAAGUGCUGCUGAGGACACUUUUGUCCCGUUCCAGUGAGGAGUGCCCCUCGGUGGAGGUGGCGCGUGAGUCGUCAUCCUGUGGCCUUCCCUCAUUCCCCUACGACAGUGCUGUGGAGGUCCGCCCAGUCAGACCUGCUCAGGAGCACCGCGCCGCAGGAAUGCAAGGACUACAAAGUGGUGAAGAGGACAGCCAGGACGAGAGCCCCGUGGAAAGUAUUCCUAUUGGAGAGACGACAAAAGCAUAUCAGCUGCUUAAACAGUCUGCCACGCAGGAGAGGCAGCAGAGCUCUGGAGACGAGGAGGAGGAUCUGUCAGAUAAGGGGAAUCGUCRCCCAUACCACCCCACACUACUACUCCACUGUGGCCUAAUCAUCGGUCAACACUGACCAUAUGGCUCACCGUCCCGUAAAGAAUUGUUACUAGUGUCGUAUAGAGAAUAUACCCACCGUGUGUACAGAUUUUUUCGAGAAUAAAUGAUGGCUAUGAAGUGGAUAGUGGGAGAGUUGAGUACUCUCAUCAAGACCCCCUUGAUGCACAAUUGAGAACAUCCUGUYGUGCUGUAUCACCGCC